rnacentral:rRNA from 1 species
UAGGGAAUCUUCGGCAAUGGACGGAAGUCUGACCGAGCAACGCCGCGUGAGUGAAGAAGGUUUUCGGAUCGUAAAGCUCUGUUGUAAGAGAAGAACGAGUGUGAGAGUGGAAAGUUCACACUGUGACGGUAUCUUACCAGAAAGGGACGGCUAACUACGUGCCAGCAGCCGCGGUAAUACGUAGGUCCCGAGCGUUGUCCGGAUUUAUUGGGCGUAAAGCGAGCGCAGGCGGUUAGAUAAGUCUGAAGUUAAAGGCUGUGGCUUAACCAUAGUACGCUUUGGAAACUGUUUAACUUGAGUGCAAGAGGGGAGAGUGGAAUUCCAUGUGUAGCGGUGAAAUGCGUAGAUAUAUGGAGGAACACCGGUGGCGAAAGCGGCUCUCUGGCUUGUAACUGACGCUGAGGCUCGAAAGCGUGGGGGGCAAACAGGAUUAGAUACCCUGGUAGUCCACGCCGUAAACGAUGAGUGCUAGGUGUUAGACCCUUUCCGGGGUUUAGUGCCGCAGCUAACGCAUUAAGCACUCCGCCUGGGGAGUACGACCGCAAGGUUG